rnacentral:rRNA from 1 species
AGCGAACGCUGGCGGCAGGCUUAACACAUGCAAGUCGAACGAUCCUUCGGGAUAGUGGCGGACGGGAGAGUAACACGUGGGAACGUACCCUUCAGUUCGGAACAACCCAGGGAAACCUGGGCUAAUACCGGAUACGUCCGUAAGGAGAAAGAUUUAUCGCUGAAGGAUCGGCCCGCGUCUGAUUAGCUAGUUGGUGAGGUAAUGGCUCACCAAGGCGACGAUCAGUAGCUGGUCNGAGAGGAUGAUCAGCCACACUGGGACUGAGACACGGGCCCGACUCCUACGGGAGGCAGCAGUAAGGAAUAUUGGUCAAUGGACGCAAGUCUGAACCAGCCAUGCCGCGUGAAGGAUGAAGGUCCUCUGGAUUGUAAACUUC